UUUCUCUCAAGGUCGCACCUGGAGAGUUUCCAGUACUCUAUCAGUCUCGGCUAUGGGAGAGAGAGUGAAGUGGAAUGGCGUACCCAUUCCAUUUCUAGCUUGGGCAGUAGCUAGGGAGUGGAAGGCAAUCUGCUACAAGU